AUCUUGGUGGUUUAGUGGUAGCACGCGUCCCCGAUAUGUAUGAAACGCGGGUUCGACUCACGUCUGAGGUC